AUACGGAAGGCAGCAGUGGGGAAUAUUGGGCAAUGGACGAAAGUCUGACCCAGCCAUGCCGCGUGAGUGAUGAAGGUUUUAGGGUUGUAAAGCUCUUUCGCCGAUGAAGAUAAUGACGGUAGUCGGAGAAGAAGCCCCGGCUAACUUCGUGCCAGCAGCCGCGGUAAUACGAAGGGGGCUAGCGUUGUUCGGAAUUACUGGGCGUAAAGCGAGCGUAGGUUGCUCGAUAUGUCAGUGGUGAAAUCCCGGGGCUCAACCCCGGAACUGCCAUUGAAACUGUCGAGCUGGAAUCUCAGAGGGGGUAGCGGAAUUCCAAAUGUAGGGGUGAAAUCCGUAGAUAUUUGGAGGAACACCGGUGGCGAAGGCGGCUACCUGGAUGAGUAUUGACACUGAGGCUCGAAAGCGUGGGGAUCAAACAGGAUUAGAAACCCGAGUAGUCC
rnacentral:rRNA from 1 species